UACGUAGGGUGCAAGCGUUAAUCGGAAUUACUGGGCGUAAAGCGUGCGCAGGCGGCUUCGCAAGUCAGGCGUGAAAUCCCCGGGCUUAACCUGGGAAUGGCGUCUGAAACUACGGAGCUGGAGUGUGGCAGAGGGAGGUAGAAUUCCACGUGUAGCGGUGAAAUGCGUAGAUAUGUGGAGGAAUACCGAUGGCGAAGGCAGCCUCCUGGGCCGAACACUGACGCUCAUGCACGAAAGCGUGGGGAGCAAACAGG
rnacentral:rRNA from 1 species